rnacentral:misc_RNA from 1 species
AAACGUUCCUCCAUGCAUGCUUGUGCCUCGGACCUCCAUAUGCUUGUGCUUCGUGUCGUAUUCUCAAAGCUUGUUGUGCGUGGCCUGUUUGUAUACUCGGAUGCUUGCAACAGAAGCCUGGAAUGGCGUGGACGGCGGCGACGGCAGCACGGCGCCACAUAUGGAUCCCGGGGGAACAUUUUUAAGCUGUUUGGUUUGAGGAAUGAUCUAAUUCAUCGUCUUCUCACUCCUCACUUUUUUGUUUGGUUUGUGGAAUGGAUUGAGUUGAUUCAUCAUCACCUCAUUUCUUAUAGUUAUUUAGUUAGUACUAAUAUGAGGCAUGAGGUCAUCCCACCAAAUUUGAGGAAUGGACCCAUG